GACGAACGCUGGCGGCGUGCUUAACACAUGCAAGUCGAACGGUAAGGCUCCAGCUUGCUGGGGUACACGAGUGGCGAACGGGUGAGUAACACGUGGGUGACCUGCCCUGCACUUCGGGAUAAGCCUGGGAAACUGGGUCUAAUACCGGAUAGGACCGCACCGUGAGGGUGUGGUGGAAAGUUUUUUCGGUGUGGGAUGGGCCCGCGGCCUAUCAGCUUGUUGGUGGGUAAUGGCCUACCAAGGCGGCGACGGGUAGCCGGCCUGAGAGGGUGGACGGCCACAUUGGGACUGAGACACGGCCCAGACUCCUACGGGAGGCAGCAGUGGGGAAUAUUGCACAAUGGGCGGAAGCCUGAUGCAGCGACGCCGCGUGGGGGAUGACGGCCUUCGGGUUGUAAACUCCUUUCACCAUCGACGAAGGGUCUCUGACGGUAGAUGGAGAAGAAGCACCGGCUAACUACGUGCCAGCAGCCGCGGUAAUACGUAGGGUGCGAGCGUUGUCCGGAAUUACUGGGCGUAAAGAGCUCGUAGGUGGUUUGUCGCGUCGUCUGUGAAAUUCCGGGGCUUAACUCCGGGCGUGCAGGCGAUACGGGCAUAACUUGAGUACUGUAGGGGAGACUGGAAUUCCUGGUGUAGCGGUGAAAUGCGCAGAUAUCAGGAGGAACACCGGUGGCGAAGGCGGGUCUCUGGGCAGUAACUGACGCUGAGGAGCGAAAGCAUGGGGAGCGAACAGGAUUAGAUACCCUGGUAGUCCAUGCCGUAAACGGUGGGCGCUAGGUGUGGGUUUCCUUCCACGGGAUCCGUGCCGUAGCUAACGCAUUAAGCGCCCCGCCUGGGGAGUACGGCCGCAAGGCUAAAACUCAAAGGAAUUGACGGGGGCCCGCACAAGCGGCGGAGCAUGUGGAUUAAUUCGAUGCAACGCGAAGAACCUUACCUGGGCUUGACAUAUACAGGAUCGCGCCAGAGAUGGUGUUUCCCUUGUGGCUUGUAUACAGGUGGUGCAUGGUUGUCGUCAGCUCGUGUCGUGAGAUGUUGGGUUAAGUCCCGCAACGAGCGCAACCCUUGUCUUAUGUUGCCAGCACGUUGUGGUGGGGACUCGUAAGAAACUGCCGGGGUUAACUCGGAGGAAGGUGGGGAUGACGUCAAAUCAUCAUGCCCCUUAUGCCCAGGGCUUCACACAUGCUACAAUGGUCGGUACAGUGGGUUGCCAGUCCGUGAGGGCGAGCUAAUCCCGCAAAGCCGGUCUCAGUUCGGAUCGGGGUCUGCAACUCGACCCCGUGAAGUCGGAGUCGCUAGUAAUCGCAGAUCAGCAACGCUGCGGUGAAUACGAUCCCGGGCCU
rnacentral:rRNA from 1 species